GAUGAACGCUGGCGGCGUGCUUAACACAUGCAAGUCGAGCGAGAAAAGUUCUUCGGAGCUUUUCUAGCGGCGGACGGGUGAGUAACACGUGGGCAACCUGCCUCAUAGAGGGGAAUAGCCUUCCGAAAGGAAGAUUAAUACCGCAUAACAUUGUUGAAAGGCAUCUUUUAACAAUCAAAGGAAUAAUCCGCUAUGAGAUGGGCCCGCGGCGCAUUAGCUAGUUGGUGAGGUAACGGCUCACCAAGGCGACGAUGCGUAGCCGACCUGAGAGGGUGAUCGGCCACAUUGGAACUGAGACACGGUCCAGACUCCUACGGGAGGCAGCAGGGGGGAAUAUUGCACAAUGGGGGAAACCUUGAUGCAGCAACGCCGCGUGAGUGAUGAAGGUCUUCGGAUUGUAAAGCUCUGUCUUUAGGGACGAUAAUGACGGUACCUAAGGGGGAAGCCACGGCUAACUACGUGCCAGCCGCCGCCGUAAUAC
rnacentral:rRNA from 1 species